rnacentral:hammerhead_ribozyme from 1 species
AUUCAGCCGACGAGCCCCAAAAACAUGACGAAACGCGCGUCCUGGAU